rnacentral:lncRNA from 1 species
GGCUGCACCAAUGUUAAAAUAUAUUAAACAGGAAAGCAGUUAUUAUUUUUUUAGUUACUGAUACCCCUUUCAUUAAGAAUAAUGAGAUUUGACUUUAUUAAAAGAAAAAUAUGCAUGCAUGUGUAGAAGUUUGAUCUGGCAAUAAUACAGUUUGAAGCAGUUUUUUGAGCUGAGAGGGGUAUGCUGUUCCGAUUUUUUUAGCCUUACAGGAAUGUGAUCCCACCAAAUUUUUUGUUCUUUUUAUUAAAGAAUAUGAUAAUCUGUUAGCUCUAUAUGGUAAAUUUCCAAUAUUUACCAUGGAUGGAAUUCCAGAAGACUUCAAAAAUGGCCGAUUUUGGCAAAAUGAACAAUUGGUGUUUUGGAUGUCCUUAU